AACGAACGCUGGCGGCAUGCCUAACACAUGCAAGUCGAACGAGACCUUCGGGUCUAGUGGCGCACGGGUGCGUAACGCGUGGGAAUCUGCCCUUAGGUACGGAAUAACUCAGGGAAACUUGAGCUAAUACCGCAUAAUGACUCCGGUCCAAAGAUUUAUCGCCUAGGGAUGAGCCCGCGUAGGAUUAGCUAGUUGGUGAGGUAAAAGCUCACCAAGGCGACGAUCCUUAGCNGGUCUGAGAGGAUGAUCAGCCACACUGGGACUGAGACACGGCCCAGACACCUACGGGUGGCAGCAGUCGAGAAUUUUUCUCAAUGGGGGCAACCCUGAAGGAGCGACGCCGCGUGGAGGAUGAAGGCUUUCGGGUUGUAAACUCCUGUCAUUUGGGAACAAGUUACACACGUUAACUGCGUGGGUAUUGAUAGUACCAGAAGAGGAAGAGACGGCUAACUCUGUGCC
rnacentral:rRNA from 1 species